rnacentral:rRNA from 1 species
UACAGAGGAGCCAAGCGUUGUCCGGAUUGACUGGGCGUAAAGCGCACGCAGGCGGUUGCGCGCGUGGGGUGUGAAAUCUGGCCGCUUAACGGCCAGGCGCCAUCCCAUACGGCGCGACUGGAGUGAUGCAGAGGUCGAUGGAAUUGCCGGUGUAGUGGUGAAAUGCGUAGAGAUCCGGAGGAACCCCAGAGGCGAAGGCGGCGCCCUGGCUCGCAACUGACGCUCAGACACGACAGCAUGGGGAGCGAACGGG